rnacentral:rRNA from 1 species
ACAGGUGCUGCAUGGCUGUCGUCAGCUCGUGUCGUGAGAUGUUGGGUUAAGUCCGUAACGAGCGCAACCCUUGUCCUUAGUUACCAGCACGUUAUGGUGGGCACUCUAAGGAGACUGCCGGUGACAAACCGGAGGAAGGUGGGGAGUGACGUCAAGUCAUCAUGGCCCUUACCGGCCUGGGCUACACACGUGCUACAAUGGUCGGUACAAAGGGUUGCCAAGCCGCGAGGUGGAGCUAAUCCCAUAAAACCGAUCGUAGUCCGGAUCGCAGUCUGCAACUCGACUGCGUGAAGUCGGAAUCGCUAGUAGUCGUGAAUCAGAAUGUCACGGUGAAUACGUUCCCGGGCCUU